UAAAAAAGCGAGGAUGUUCUAGGCUGUGAAGAUGGGGAAGGUCCACAUGGAGUAGGAAUCCAGGGAAAAAUGUUACUGAGAGGGGACCUCAAUAGAUAUCUUAAGAGGAGGGCUACUUCCAGCUGUUGAAAGCCCAGGUCCAGGGAGGAGAUCAGCACAUAUUCCAGAAGCUAUGGGGACCUAAGGUCAAUGAAGGCAGCUAUGACUGGCCGGGCACAUGGUCCACACAAAGAAAAGAAUGCACCGACCUAUUGUGGAGGAGAGUCUUUAAUCUUGUUUUGCUAUUGGUGUAUACUGUUCGGGAAAAUUCUCCUGCAAUUCUUGGCCAAUUAAUCCCCCACAAAAACAUGAGAAUGCCUUCUGCUGGCGCCUUUGUACACAGUCAAAGGAAUGAUAUUCACGCUUAAAGAUAGUUGAGAUCAGACACAAAGGGUUAAUCCCAAUGAGCAGACAGCGCGAUUUCUGAUUGAACAAAGAACACUUUAUUGAGUGCUGCCUGGGUGCGGGGAGAAGAGCGGGAUGACCCAGAUGGGAGGCAAGAUCCUCCUGGAGGUCCUGAGGCUCCGGGCCCCCUUCGGUGGGCGGGGCCGUCGGGAACCUAAGAGCACUCUGCGGGGGCCACCUUCUUCUCCACGGUGCUCCCCUCGUGCGUGACCAGGCAGCUGAAGCUGCUGUGAGAUUUCCACUUGUCAGGCGUCAGGCUCAGGUAGCUGCUGGCCGCGUACUUGUUGUUGCUCUGCUUGGAGGGCUUGGUGGUCUCCACGGUGCUCCCCUCGUGCGUGACCAGGCAGCUGAAGCUGCUGUGAGAUUUCCACUUGUCAGGCGUCAGGCUCAGGUAGCUGCUGGCCGCGUACUUGUUGUUGCUCUGCUUGGAGGGCUUGGUGGUCUCCACGCCCUGGGUGACGGGGCUGCCGUCUGCCUUCCAGGCCACCGUCACGCCGCUGGGGUAGAAGUCGCUGAUGAGGCACACCAGGGUGGCCUUGUUGGCGCCGAGCUCCUCAGAGGAGGGCGGGAAGAGUGUGACCGAGGGGGAGGCCUUGGGCUGACCUGUGGGGACGGAAGGCCGGUGGGUCAAGGCAGAUGUUUGUUGUGUCAGCACCUACCUGAGUGCUGGUGUGGGGGUACAGCUGUGUCCUGUCCAUGUCUUGGGCCGCAGGCGGCCCUUGCUCCUAGAGGUCAGGCCAACCAUCGGUAGGCUCACCCACCUUCUGCUGGAGAGAAUCUGAGUGACAGAUUCUCUAGUUUCUGGGCCUCUGCAUGGCCUCAGGGUCUCUCCACAUCAUAUAUCCUUCUAAUCUACUCAGUCUACCCCCAGGACUAGAUAUCAAUGACCCCGAGACCCUGCUUUCUUUCUGAAUCUGGGUGUGCUUGGACACAGGUCUCAGGUGACAUCCCCCAGGUCACUUACCCAGGAUUUCCUAGAGCUGGCAUCUCUGGGUUGCAGGGCUCUGUUACCCAUGUGAGGAGUCUGUUUCCUGCCUCCAGGCCACCUCAUGCCUUCACAGCAGCCUUGCCCACCUCCCUAGAUACCCACCUUCUAGGGUUGCUGAAUGGGAUGGGCUGUGAACCCUGGUUCUUGAACUCAGGGAGUCCAGUAGGGGAAGUUUUUCGUGUCAAGUGAAUUUCCAGUUCUGAGGAUGGGGCUGUGUCUGUCCUGAGGGUCUCCCUUUUCUGUGAAAACCUGGGGGUCUAUCUCUCCUAGCAUUUCCGGGUACCUAGCAGUACUAUCUCUGUCACCUGUCCCUAUCAGGGACCUCGGGUCCAGUAUCUUCUCAGGGGCUCUCCAGAUGGAGUGGGCUUUGAGGGGACGGACCUCUGCUGCCAGAGUUUCCUAGACCGGUCCUAUUCUUGGUGUCUAAGUAUCCCUACAUGGUGGAUGGUCCCAUCACCCUGGGCUCCAUUCUCUCAAGUCCUUGCUUUAUCCUUUACCCCUUGUCCUGCGUCCCCCUCCUUGUCUCCGAGUCCCCAUAUCAAGGCUCUCCUCACUGUGCCCAUGCAGCCCUCUGCCCGGGAGCCCCCUCCACCAGAGACAGAGGCCAGCACCUGAGCGGCCCCCACAAUCCUUCCAUCACCUUAUAGCCCUGCUGGCAGUCUGAGCAUCCCUCUUCCUUAUCCAUCUCCCCUCAUUUCCCCUCACAUUCAUGAUUCUAAUAGAUCCUGACUGGGGAACCGACCACCCCCUAGUCCAGAGAAGA
rnacentral:lncRNA from 12 species